GCGCCCGAUCUCCCCUUCGCCCGGGUCCCGGCCCCCUUACAGCGCGUGGGCGGCGAUCCAGCAGCAGGCGGCGCAGAUCCACAGGCCGAAGGAGAUGCAGACGCGGCGGCGGGCGAAGCAGCGGUCCAGUUGCUGCAGCCUUCAAACCAAGAUGACGACACUCGGCAAUUCCAACUGUUGUUGAACAGAGCAACCUGUGUCCCGGAAAGAACCACAGUAUCCGGAUUUGACCUUUAGAGAUGCACACAAAGACCAGAGAAGAGCCAGCGUGGUGACGCACACCUGUAAUCCCAGCACUUCGGCUCAGGGCAGGAGGAGCACAUGGUUGGGGCCAGCCUGGGCUACAGACUGAGAUCUUGUCUUCCCCAAAAUAAAAAUGAAUAUAAAGGAGGAAUCACGGCAAACAUAAGAAUCUGAGUGAGGUUAGUAAAAUAAAGGCGGCAAAGGAUAUAGUCUAGUCUCUCUGAA